rnacentral:lncRNA from 1 species
CUCACACUCAUUCUCUCAUGGCUCCGGAGUCAGAAGUCCAAAACCAGCCUCACUGAUGUGGCGAACGCCCGGUAUGGGCCGGGCUGGCUCCUCCCCGGGGCUCCCGGGGAAUCUGCUCCUUUGCCUUUUCCAGUGUCUGGAGGCGCCUGCAGUCCUUGGCUCGUGGCCCCACGUCACUCCCACCUGUUUCUGUCGUCACAUCUCCUCCUCUCGCCCUGACCUCUGCCUUUCCCUCACAAGGACCCUGUGAGGACCCUGGGCCCACCCGGAUAAGCCAGAUCGUCUGCUGUCUCAAGCCCCUAAGGUGAGGGCACUGGGAGGGAACUAUCUGGAAUAUGGCGCUUGCUGUGGAGAGGCUGGCUGCUGAGAGGACGCCCUGCUGGCUUCUGUGACUGGGGACCCUCUGAGGAGCAGGACAUGGAAGGUUGCUGGAAGCUUCCCCACCUGCUGGCCGGAGCCGUGCUGGCCUGCGGCGUCUCGGAGCCUUCAGAUCUUUCCGAGUGAAGUGAUGGAAACUGGGGUCGGAGAGGCGGAUGCUCUGCCCGGGCCCGCAGCCGGGAGGCAGGAGAGGAAGGCUCAUGCCUGGGCCUCCGCUUGGCCGGCCCGUCCCCGGAGAAGGUCCGAGUGCACACACACAAGACAUACAGCCCCGGGGGGCUGCUGAAAGGGAGGAGUCCCCGGCAGCUUCUCCCCUGGAGACUUGGGCUCCCCGGGCAGAUAGAACAGCUUACACAGGUUCCCCACAUCCACCUGGGCCUGGACCCCAAACACCAUCAGGGCCCCCGGAUCCAUCCACCCCGGCCUCGGGUGUGGAGAGGGCUCUGGGACGGGGUCAGUGUGCCUGCUCCUGGACGCGGCUCAGCGCCAUCCCACACCUCCUGGUCCUUGGGGCACAAUUUGGCCCUCCCUUCACCAUCCCAGGGUAAGGCUGCCCCAUCCCCACCCCAGUGGGCCCACAGCCUGGCACAGACAGGAGGCAAAUAGCAAGUUGCUCUAGUCUCAGAUGGGUGAGGGGUGACAGGAUGGUGCAGUGGGUGGGUGGUAUCCCAAGGAUAUGCCCACGUCCUAACCCCCUACUGUGAACGUGGCCUUAUCUGGAAAUAGGGACUUUACAGAUGUCAUCAGGGUAAGACGAGGUCACACUGGGGUAGGGUGGGCUCUGAUCCGCUAUGGCCGGUGUCUUUGUAAGAAGAGGAGGUUAGGACACAGACACGCAGAGGAGGAGGCAUGUGAAGACGGAGCAGCAGGCACUGGAGGGACGCAGCCAUAAGCCAAAGGACGUCUGGGGCCCCAGGAGCUGGAGGAGGCAGGAAGGACCUUCCCCUGGAGUCUUCAGAGGGAGCGUGGCCCUGCCACACCUGGAUUUUGGCCUUCUGGCCUCCAGAACUGUGAGGGAAUAAAUUCCUGUUGACUUAAGCCCC